rnacentral:misc_RNA from 1 species
GAUGAAGAACGCAGCGAAAUGCGAUACGUAAUGUGAAUUGCAGAAUUCAGUGAAUCAUCGAGUCUUUGAACGCACAUUGCGCCCCCUGGUAUUCCGGGGGGCAUGCCUGUCCGAGCGUCGUUGCUGCCCUCAAGCACGGCUUGUGUGUUGGGCCUCCGUCCUCCUCCCGGGGGACGGGCCCGAAAGGCAGCGGCGGCACCGCGUCCGGUCCUCGAGCGUAUGGGGCUUCGUCACCCGCUCUUGUAGGCCCGGCCGGCGCUUGCCGACACAUCAAUCUUUUUUCCAGGUUGACCUCGGAUCAGGUAGGGAUACCCGCUGAACUUAAGCAUAUCAAUAAGCGGAGGA